rnacentral:lncRNA from 12 species
AUGAAAGAAUGCACAGACACAGCAAGCAGGCAUGGAUCUGGACUACAGAGCAGUUACAGAGGGCAGUUAGAAGACAAAAGGAUGGAGAGGAACCUCAGAGACAUCUCAACAGGAGAUGGGAUAAUCAAGUGUGCUGCUGAGCAGGGAACUGAGGUUAUCCUGAGAAAGGUGGAGAGGAACCUCAGAGACAUCUCAAUAGGAGAUGGGAUAAUCAAGUGUGCUCCUGAGCAGGGAACUGAGGUUAUCCUGAGAAAGUCAGUAUAAAAAAAUGCUUGCUUCCUAUAAAGUUGUACAAAAUCAAAUUGUCAGUAUAAAAAAAUACUUGCUUCCUAUAAAGUUGUACAAAAUCAAAUUCCUUUCAUGCAGUAAAGGC